rnacentral:rRNA from 1 species
UGGCGAAAGGGUGAGGAACACGUGGGCAACCUGCCCCCAAGUUAGAGAUAACCCGCCGAAAGGUGGGCUAAUAUCGAAUGUGGUCCCCCGGCGCAUGUCGGGGUGAUUAAAGGUGGGGACUCCCGAUCUUGUAUUGGGGGCCUGUCGCUAGGGGAGGGACCCGCGUCCCAUCAGCUUGUUGGUGAGGUAACGGCUCACCAAGGCUUACGGGUAGCUGGUCUGAGAGGAUGGUCAGCCACACUGGGACUGAGACACUGCCCAGACUCCUACGGGAGGCUGCAGUCGAGGAUCAUUUGCAAUGCGCGAAAGCGUGACAAUGCGACGCUGCGUGGAGGAUGAAAGCCUUCGGGUUGUAAACUCCUGUCAUUCGGGAACAAUAGCAUGAGGGUUAAUACCUCUUGUGAAUGAUGGUACCGAAAGAGGAAGCCACGGCUAACUCUGUGCCAGCAGCCGCGGUAAUACAGAGGUGGCGAGCGUUGUUCGGAUUUACUGGGCGUAAAGGGUGCGUAGGUGGUUUCGUAUGUCGGAUGUGAAAGCCCAUUGUUCAACGGUGGAAUUGCAUUCGAAACUACGGGACUAGAGUUCAGGAAGGGAGAGCGGAAUUCUUGGUGUAGCGGUGAAAUGCGUUGAUAUCAAGAAGAACACCGGUGGCGAAGGCGGCUCUCUGGAAUGUAACUGACACUGAGGCACGAAAGCUGGGGGAGCG